GAAUCACACAAUAUUUAGGGUUGGAAGGCACCUCGGGAGAUCAUCCAGACCAACCAGGGGCACCCAGAGCAGGUGACACAGGGAAAGCAUCCAGCAAAUACAACCACUGUUCGUGACAAACACAUGAUUUCCAAAGUGAAGAAUAAAGAAUUGUGUCAGCUAGAGAGAGAGAAGGAAGAUGAAACAAGCACAGUAAUACACAGGAGGCAAAAAGAAAGAGCAAGAACAUUAUGUUCAUCAGCCACGGACCCAAAUUAACUUGGGAAAGAGAUGUGGAAAUUGGAUUAACUCCUAUGAAAGCAUCAGGGAAUGAUUGGAGCCCAAAGGACUUACCUGCAGCAUGGGCCUGGAUGUGGCUGUGGCUGGAAAAGCCUUUGUUCCCCAUCCCACUCUGUACCUGGUUCAGCUCCGUUCCCAGCCGGGCCCAACCCACGGCUCAGCCCCGGAUCAUUCCCUCACUGGGAUCCAUUCCUGCCUGAAAUUCUGAAACAUCAGUGCCAGUGCUUCUCCCGGACUUGUGUCAGCCUGUGCCAGUGCUUUCCUGGGAUCUGGACACAGGAAUUUUGGAGGGUGCUCUUGCUCUUCCUUCUCCACUCUACUUCAUCCCCUUUAAGUACCUCAAACCCUUCCCAUUUCCCAGACCUUUUCCAAAAUAGGCAUUUCCAGAAAGAACUAUUCUAAAUAUAUAUUUGUACAAAUAUAUACAUGCUCCCUGUUCUAAA